GGCGUAAACAGAGGGAGGCGAAGGAGCGAUCCGGAGCAAACCCCAAAAAUAACGCCCCAGUUCGGAUUGCAGGCUGCAACCCGCCUGCAUGAAGCUGGAAUCGCUAGUAAUCGCGGAUCAGAAUGCCGCGGUGAAUACGUUCCCGGGUCUUGUACACACCGCCCGUCACACCAUGGGAGUCGGUAACGCCCGAAGUCAGUGACCCAACCGAAAGGAGGGAGCUGCCGAAGGCGGGACUGGUAACUGGGGUGAAGUCGUAACAAGGUAAC
rnacentral:rRNA from 1 species